UAGCAGAAAAAGGUAUCCAUUAAACUGAGAAGCUCAUGCCCAAAAGUAGCAUCUACCAUCUGAUGGAUCUGAGGCAAUGGAUAGCUGUCCUUGGGGUAAAUCUUGUUCAAAUCGAUGAAGUCAUUGCACAUGUGCCACUUUUCGUUUGUCAUCUUGAUCAGGAUAAUUUUCGCCAGCCAAUUCAGGUACAUUACUUCUCUAAUGAAGCCAGCUUUGAGUAGUUUGUCCACUUCCUCGAAUAUGAUCUUCUAACACUCUGGAGUGAAGCUUCGCUUCCUCUGCUUCACCAACCGAUAGAUUGGAUCCACCUUCAGAUGAUGGGACAUCACCUCCGGAUCAAUGUCAGACAUGUCUACGGCCAAUCAAACAAAAAGAUCGA
rnacentral:lncRNA from 1 species